CUAAAUGCUGCUUUUAAUUCAUCCUAUUACCUUUGUCUCUUUUACUGUUUUCGGUAAAUUGAAAACUCUCAAGGAACAAUUCCAAGUCUCAUACGUUGUAGAAAUCCAUAGAAGUUUCUUAAUAUACUCAUAAAAGUUAAUCUUUAUGUCUCUGCAAUGCUGGUUUUCUUUUCAUGCUUUAGAUAGUAGAGCUUUAUGAAUAUAUGACACACUUCUCCUUACUUCUGCUUCACAGGAUAAUUUCUCUAUUCAUUAAAACUUUCGCAAUUGAAGGACUUCAACAAAGAAAGUUACAAAAGACCGUUCUGUCUUGAGUCUUGGCUGUCGCGUCCUAGCUCUCAAAAUGUCCUUAGCAGUACAUGUUCAUCUUUACAGACUCAUGGUUGAAACACCAAAAUGGACCUGGUUGAAAUGAUAGGCUGGAGAAGACUUCCGUUAGAUGUGUUUCAGUGUCAUGAUUGGCAAGGGAAAUUGCAUUUCAUAAACUUGUUUGCACUUGGCUGAAACUGGAUUGGAGAUAUUAUUUCCUCUUAUGUGGAAAAUUCACUUUGGUAGAUUUCUCUACCAUGGCUGUAUGCUAUAGAGUUUCUUGAAUCUUAUGCAGAAGGACUAGAAAGCCAUUCAUCGGGAGUACGUGAUGGACUACCCUCGACUAGUGCAAUCGUGCAUUAGUCGUUGAAACCUAAGCUUGAUCGUUCCAACGUGGCGCUGAGCUUGAACAGGAUCUCGUGUUUUUCUUAAUUGAUUGAUGUUCCAUGCUAGUAAUAUUAAUCUUUUCAAAUACUAUGAAAUUCUCUUAUUGCUUCAGUCAACUAUCUAUGAAAUUGUGUUGAAUGUUAAAUAUCAGUUUUGAAAGGGGAAUGUGUUGGUUUGCUAGGAGAUUUAGGAUGUAAGUUGUGAGGAAGAGCCUAUAUUAGUUUCUAUCAGUUUGGUGCUUCACUCAAUAUGAUUAUUAUUCAUUUUCUAUAGCCGGAGCUUUAGUCCAUAUAAUUAUAUUAAUAGGAAUAUUUACUGCAUUCUCACAAUAUUUAAACUC